GGUCUCGCUCCGCGAGGGCUUGCUUUUUUCUGAUCGUUUGCCGUUGAGAGGGAUCUCGCAGUUGAAUCUCCAGCCCACUGGGAAGCGAUUUCACCUCUCGCUCGAGCUGGCGGACCCAACAUUCAAGAUGGAUGCGGCCUGACCUUAGAUUGGAGCAGUCAGAAUUUUUCCAUGAAGCCAGUGUUACAGGGAAAGACUUCUUCAUAGAGAAUGGAUAUCCUCACCUUAUCUGCUUCCUGCUGACUCUGAUCUACAGGAGGAAGACGUACCUGAUUAGUACACUUGUGAUGAAUGAAUGAGGCAUAAGCAUACUCAAUUCAGCCAUUUUUUUUUAAUCUUUCUAUGUGGUCUUUCUGCUCCUCCAGGCUAGCUUUGCCCCUGUAAGGGCACAUGGGAGGCUUCCCCUCAUCCCGUGUGCCUGUACCCAGGUGAAUAGUCUGCCUAAUUCUUUCGCACAUAUUAGCUGGCCCAGCUCAACUUUUAUCUGCCAAAAUGUCAUGCUUGGACAUCCAUCUGACACUCCUUGCUCUUUUUAAGAAAAUUUGUUCAGAUCCUGAGAUGAUUACAGAGGUGUCAUUUAUUGAGCAUGCUUAAAGGUGUCAAUAGUCAUGACCCGUGUGGUUUUUUUGUUUUUCUUUGUUUUUGUUUUUGUUUUUUGGGGGUUCUUUUUUGUUUGUUUUUAAUCUUUGGAGCUACAUAUUUGCUUUGAUCUUUGGAGUAUUUGCUGGAAGAAUGGAUUCCUAAAACCUGAAAUAGAGUUUUUAAUAAUAAUAUUAAUAAUAACAAUUGCAGCCGACACUUUCUGAUACCAUGCUAAAUGCUUUACUUGCUUUAUCUCAUUUAAUCCUCAUUGCUGUCGUUUUGAUGAACAUAUAAAUUAGCUCUCAGUAAACAAUUGAGAUUUGGGUCUGGCAUCUUUGAGGAGAAUAUCUUCCUUUCUUGACACAGCAUCAGAAAAACAGUACUUGCCUGAAGCAGCAAAGGAUGCCCGCAGAGGGGAGAGGAUUCCAUGCAGUGCCUCCCAGAUCUUUCUCUGGGACUGAAGAACUGUCCCGCCCAGCUUCUGGGAGGCUGUCAGCCCUCCACUCUUCAUUCUGUCGGGGACCGGCAACGGCAAUGGGAGCCAGCAAUAGGCAGUAGUCUGCUCAUCCUUGCUCCAGACAAUGGGGAGCCGUGAAACGCUUUUGCACAAAACUGGAAGACCGUUAUUCUCCCUGCCAUGGCAGAUUUCGCCUACCCUGUUCUUUUCUCUCUUGUUGGUUCAGACCACAUUUCUUCCUUUAUUCAUUCUUUUGUUCGUUCAUCUAUUUGUUCACUCUCCUUCUUUCCUCUUCUCUCCCCCCAUCCCCUCCACCUCUCAUCUAUGAUUUAUUUGAUUAAUAUCUUGCUGACAUUUGUUUUUUGCCUGUUAGUGAAGCCGUCAUCUGGAUCAUUGAGUCUUUCCCCCUUCUGCUUUGACUUGAUCAACAAUUGCAGUUUUAUCCCCUGGUAAAUUAAACCCAAGCCACUGUUGGCAGAAAAACAGCAUUUAAAUGACAGUAUAAGUUAUUUCUCUGUGGAGCUCUCCCCUCCCAACACACACACCAGCCCUCACGUUUAUGAGAUAAUUGGAAAUAAAUCUGAGACCAUAAAAGAUGGAGUGGGUGAAAAAGACGCUAAGAUCAUUUUACAGGAACUCCAUGGGAAUCUCUUGUGACUUUUAACCAUCCUGGGUCAGUAAACUGUAAGAAUGGC